GAUGAACGCUGGCGGCGUGCCUAAUACAUGCAAGUCGAACGCUUUGUCUUUAAUUGAUCUGACGAGCUUGCUCUGAUGUGAUUUUAUCUGACAAAGAGUGGCGAACGGGUGAGUAACACGUGGGUAACCUACCUCUUAGCAGGGGAUAACAUUUGGAAACAAGUGCUAAUACCGUAUAAUAUUAACAACCGCAUGGUUGUUAAUUGAAAGAUGGUUCUGCUAUCACUAAGAGAUGGACCCGCGGUGCAUUAGCUAGUUGGUAAGGUAAUGGCUUACCAAGGCGAUGAUGCGUAGCCGAGUUGAGAGACUGAUCGGCCACAAUGGGACUGAGACACGGCCCAUACUCCUACGGGAGGCAGCAGUAGGGAAUCUUCCACAAUGGGCGCAAGCCUGAUGGAGCAACGCCGCGUGUGUGAUGAAGGGUUUCGGCUCGUAAAACACUGUUAUAAGAGAAGAACGACAUUGAGAGUAACUGUUCAGUGUGUGACGGUAUCUUAUCAGAAAGGAACGGCUAAAUACGUG
rnacentral:rRNA from 1 species